rnacentral:rRNA from 1 species
GACGAACGCUGGCGGCGUGCUUAACACAUGCAAGUCGAACGAUGAAGCCGGAGCUUGCUCUGGUGAAUUAGUGGCGAACGGGUGAGUAACACGUGAGUAACCUGCCCUUGACUCUGGGAUAACUGCGGGAAACUGUAGCUAAUACCGGAUACGACCCUCGGAGGCAUCUCCUGGGGGUGGAAAGAAUUUCGGUCAAGGAUGGACUGGCGGCCUAUCAGCUAGUUGGUGAGGUAAAGGCUCACCAAGGCGACGACGGGUAGCCGGCCUGAGAGGGUGAACGGCCACACUGGGACUGAGACACGGCCCAGACUCCUACGGGAGGCAGCAGUGGGGAAUAUUGCACAAUGGGCGCAAGCCUGAUGCAGCAACGCCGCGUGAGGGAUGACGGCCUUCGGGUUGUAAACCUCUUUUAGCAGGGAAGAAGCGAAAGUGACGGUACCUGCAGAAAAAGCACCGGCUAACUACGUGCCAGCCGCCGCGGUAA